CAAUCAAUGUGCUUGGAUAUGAAGUAGGUGUAAAUGUGUAGGUGUUAAAUUGCAGGUGUCUGUGUGUCCAUCAGGUUGUUAAAGACACAGUCGUUGGAGUGGUUCUACAAUAAUGUGAAGAAGCGCUUUAAGAGGUUCGGCAGUGCCAAAGUGCUGAAAACGUUUUACAGGAAGCACUUGGUGGAGCACAGCACGCUUUCUGAAUUGACAGACGGCAGCACCUACGAGGAAAGUGUCUACAAUGAGGGCAGCAUUUGUGGCAGUGACUCGUUCUUCUACAGACAAAGUGAAGAGCACAGCAUGGAGGAGAUGUUCAGUGUGGCCUUGCGGGUUGCAGAGGAGGCCAUAGAUGAGGCAAUUUCCAAGGCCAACUUUGAAGUUGGCACUCAGGAGCAGCUGGAUGAAGCACAGUACCUGCAGGAGCACAGAGCAGAGCUUAUUGAACAGUGGCCAAAACCAUUGUGCAAAAA